rnacentral:rRNA from 1 species
GAUGCUUCAUUCAAAUUUCUUCCCUAUCAACUUUCGAUGGUAGGAUAGAGGCCUACCAUGGUGGUGACAGGUGACGGAGAAUUAGGGUUCAAUUAAGGAGAGGGAGCUUGAGAAACGACUACCACAUCCAAGGAAGGUAGAAGGCGUGCAAAUUACCCAAUCCUGACAUGGGGAGGUAGUGACAAAAAAUAACAAUAUUGUGCUCAUCGAGUCUGGUAAUUAGAAUGAGUACAAUCUAAAUCCCUUAACAAGGAUCCGUUAGAGGGAAAGUUUGGUGCCAGCAGCCAUGGUAAUUUCAGCUCCAAUAGCGUAUAUUUAAGUUGUUAAAGUUAAAAAGAUCGUAGUUGGAACUUGGGUCGUAAAGGUCGUUCUGCCUACUCGGUGUGCACCUGCCCUUUCGUCCCAUUUUCCAGCGGCAUGCUCCCGACCUUAAUUGGUUGGGUCACAGUUUCGACAUUGUUGGUUUGAAAAAAAUAGAGUAAUGAUUAAUAGGGGCUGUCUGGGGCAUUCAUAUUUCAUUAUCAGAGGUGAAAUUCAAGGAUUUAUGAAGGACGAACCACUGUGAAAGAAUUUUCCAAGGAUGUUUUCAUUAAUCAAGAAUGAAAGUUGGGGGCUCGAGGAUGAUUAGAUAAUGUCCUAGUCUCAACCAUAAACAAUGUCGACCAGGGAUUGACGAAUGUUUCUCUAAGAACUCUACCAACACCUUCUAAGAAAUCAGAGUGUUGGGGUUCCAGGGGGAGUAUGGUCGCAAGGCUGAAACUUAAAGGAAUUGAUGGAAGGGCACCACCAGGAGUGGAGCCUGUGGCUUAAUUUGACUCAACACGGGAAAACUUACCAGGUCCAGACAUAGUGAGGAUUGACAAAUUGAGAGCUCUUUCUUGAUUCUAUGGGUGGUGGUACAUGGUCAUUCUUAGUUUGUGGAGCCAUUUGUCUGGUUAAUUCUGAUAAUGAACGAGACGUCAACUUGCUAACUAGCUACGUGGAGGUUCCCCUUCACAACCAAUGUCUUAGAGGGACUAUGGUCAUUUAGGUCAUGGAAGUUUGAGGC